CAUAGCGACUAUCGUGGCAUAUCAAUAAGCGGAGGAAAAGAAACUAACAAGGAUUCCCUUAGUAACGGCGAGUGAAGCGGGAAGAGCUCAAAUUUGAAAUCUUCAAGGUUCUACCUUGACGAAUUGUAGUUUAUAGAAGUGUUUUCUGUUAGUGGAGUGGCAAAAGUUCUUUGGAAUAGGACAUCAUAGAGGGUGAGAAUCCCGUAUUUGGUCAUUCCUCCUAGCGUUGUGAUACACUUUCAACGAGUCGGAUUGUUUGGGAAUGCAGUCCAAAAUGGGUGGUAAAUUUCAUCUAAAGCUAAAUAUUGGCGAGAGACCGAUAGCGAACAAGUACCGUGAGGGAAAGAUGAAAAGAACUUUGAAAAGAGAGUUAAACAGUACGUGAAAUUGUCAAAAGGGAAGCGUUUGACACCAGUGUUGUUUUUCCGAAAAUCAAUUAUAAAUGUUUUGUUUCUGAGGAGUGAUGACUUCAUCGGCUUCCUUCUCUCUUUACGAAACUUUUGUAAUGCACUUUUCGGUUAACAAGUCAACAUCAAUUUCUUUUGUUGUAAAAGGGUACAUGGAAGGUGGCUUUCUUUUCGGAGAAAGUGUUUAUAGCCUUGGACCUCUGCAAUCGGAGAGAUAUAGAGGUCUGCAGCGUAGGAUCCUUCGGGGUUAGAUAGCAUUUGUGCUAAGUUAUAGCUUUCAUAGACAACUUGUUAACUAUGUUACAGUCAUUGUAGCUUACUCGCUUAUGCUAUUUUACCUACGCUUAGGAUGUUGAUAUGCAUGACUGAUAU
rnacentral:rRNA from 1 species